GAGUGAAUUUGUUGAACUGAAGCCGGAAGUCAGAGCCGAGGUUGUGUCCCUCCAAGGAAUACCAGCAGGUGGCGCCACAGACCGGGAGGCGGCAAAGCGGACCGACGGGCAGGCCUCACGUGGGGCGGCCUCACCUGGCGGCAGCUGCACCUGCCCGCCCCGCACCCCGUGGAAACCGAGAACCCGGGCCCUGGCGUCACCUGGGCAAUUGGGAAAGCAGCGCCCGGAGCCAAGGGGAGGGGAGAUGAAAGGCGGGUGGCGGGUGUGGGCUGCCGGCAGCGCCAGGUGAGGGCCAGGAGCCCCACCCUUCGCUCCAGGACCAGGAGCAGGAGCUGGGUGUCCUUACCCCCCCCACCCCCAUCGGAAUGGGACCAGGAACACAGUUGGCAUCUAAUAAGUCUCUUUUACCUCCUGCUGCCUGCAUAUCGUGAUCACCCCAGCAAGUGGGCUUUGAAAGGGGAAGGAUGCCUGCGAUCUGGGCCAGAAAAAAAUUGCCAGGAGAGAAGCAUUGCUGCGGCUGAUUCAAGCGACUGACAGUUCCAUCAACGAACUUGUAAAGCUCCUGACUCUUUAACCAGCGGCGUCCAGCCCACUCCUGGAUCGCCUUUCAGAUUGGACGGCAGGCUGCCACGCUGGUUACGACAAUUGCAAGAGCACCCUGGGCGUCCUUGGCCCUGCUGCUGCCCGAGUGCUACUUGACGAGCCCCGUCUGUGCAAUGGGUCUGGCCGGGCUGGGCUUCCUGGUCUCCAGCUCUGAGCUCUGCGCCUGUGGGAGGCCGAGACCCCAGCAUACAGCAGGUAGCUCUCUCCCCCUUAUGUGGGUCCCUGUGGGAAUGAGGCCAGGCUGGCUGGAGCUGCCCCUCCUCCCCUCCACCCUCAAAAGCUUUCAGGGUGAUUAGUUCCCCUCAUGGAGGGGUCUUGUUACGGCUCCACCAGGAGGGCCUCUGAGACGCCUACCUGAGAUAACAGGGCUGCGUCUCCUUUAAUCUCCCAGCUUAGAGGCCACGUUUUAAUAUUUAAGAAAUGGUUUCCUGGCCUGGAGCGGAGAGGAGGGAGUGGCCGCCGACCUGGUUGGCCUCUUGUAGCCAAAAUUUGGCCUCUGUCUACUGGUGCCCAAUGGAGACACAGAGACAGAGCUUUGGGUGAAGGAGAAAGACAUAGCUGUAUUGCUUUACCAGGCAACGGAGCCCAGAGCAAGCUAAUGCCUUGAAGACUGUGCCCCUCUAUUGGGAAGAAUAGCAGACAUUUAAUAGUAAAAAGGAGAAAAAACAGGUUUCUGGAUAAGAAUCACAGCUGAGGGUAAAUAUCCAUACUUCUUUGUUUGGAGAGACUCUUUAGUCAUUGAGGUUGGUGUCAUGAGAUCUCAGCAUGACCCUGGUGAUCUUCCCGGUUUUCAUGUCUGGAUCUUUGCUAGAAAUAAAAAUACUUGUGAGAAGGGCAUGUUGAUUAACUGAUCAGGGCAAUUUAGGAAGGUCUUCAAAAAAAUCAUCAUGGGCUUAAAAUUUGUAGUCUCACAGGCAGUUGUACUCAGGGUGCCUCAUCUUUAGCUUGUGGGUGAUUGUGUUUAGGAUGCAGUUAAGCCGGGGGGGGGUUGUUUUUUGUUUGUUUGUUUUGUUUUGUUUUGUUUGCUUUUUAGGGCUGCAGCUGUGGAGGUUCCCAGGCUAGGGGUCCAAUCACAGACAGAGUUACAGCUGCCCGCCACAGCCACAGCCACGAGGGAUUCGAGCCACAUCUGCGACCUACGCCACAGCUCACAGCAACGCCGGAUCCUUAACCCACUGAGGGAGGCCAGGGAUCGAACCUAGUCAGAUUCG
rnacentral:lncRNA from 9 species